UACGUAGGUGGCAAGCGUUGUCCAGAUUUACUGGGUGUAAAGGGCGUGCAGCCGGGCCGGCAAGUCAGAUGUGAAAUCCACGGGCUUAACCCGUGAACUGCAUUUGAAACUGUUGGUCUUGAGUAUCGGAGAGGUAAUCGGAAUUCCUUGUGUAGCGGUGAAAUGCGUAGAUAUAAGGAAGAACACCAGUGGCGAAGGCGGAUUACUGGACGACAACUGACGGUGAGGCGCGAAAGCGUGGGGAGCAAACAGG
rnacentral:rRNA from 1 species